rnacentral:rRNA from 1 species
AUUGAACGCUGGCGGCAGGCCUAACACAUGCAAGUCGAACGGCAGCACAGAAGAGCUUGCUCUUUGGGUGGCGAGUGGCGGACGGGUGAGUAAUGUCUGGGAAACUGCCCGAUGGAGGGGGAUAACUACUGGAAACGGUAGCUAAUACCGCAUAACGUCGCAAGACCAAAGUGGAGGACCUUCGGGCCUCACACCAUCGGAUGGGCCCAGAUGGGAUUAGCUAGUAGGUGGGUAAUGGCUCACCUAGGCGACGAUCCCUAGCUGGUCUGAGAGGAUGACCAGCCACACUGGAACUGAGACACGGUCCAGACUCCUACGGGAGGCAGCAGUGGGGAAUAUUGCACAAUGGGCGCAAGCCUGAUGCAGCCAUGCCGCGUGUAUGAAGAAGGCCUUCGGGUUGUAAAGUACUUUCGGCGGGGAGGAAGGCGGUGAGGUUAAUAACCUUGCCGAUUGACGUUACCCGCAGAAGAAGCACCGGCUAACUCCGUGCCAGCAGCCGCCGUAA